rnacentral:rRNA from 1 species
CACGGGGGGAGCAAGCGUUGUUCGGAAUCACUGGCGUAAAGGGCGUGUAGGCGGUUCGGUAAGUGGAAUGUGAAAUCCCUCGGCUCACCCGAGGACCUGCAUCCCAAACUGCCGAGCUUGAGUAUGGGAGAGGAUGAGGGAAUUCCUGGUGUAGCGGUGAAAUGCGUAGAUAUCAGGAGGAACACCGAUGGCGAAGGCAGCCCCCUGGGCUAACACUGACGCUCAUGCACGAAAGCGUGGGGAGCAAACAGG